rnacentral:rRNA from 1 species
GACGAACGCUGGCGGCGUGCUUUACACAUGCAAGUCGAACGGAAAGGCCCAGCUUGCUGGGUGCUCGAGUGGCGAACGGGUGAGUAACACGUGGGUGAUCUGCCUCUAACUUCGGGAUAAGCUUGGGAAACUGGGUCUAAUACCGGAUAGGACAAUCGUCUAGUGUCGGUUGUGGAAAGUUUUUUCGGUUAGGGAUGAGCCCGCGGCCUAUCAGCUUGUUGGUGGGGUAAUGGCCUACCAAGGCGUCGACGGGUAGCCGGCCUGAGAGGGUGGACGGCCACAUUGGGACUGAGAUACGGCCCAGACUCCUACGGGAGGCAGCAGUGGGGAAUAUUGCACAAUGGGCGCAAGCCUGAUGCAGCGACGCCGCGUGGGGGAUGACGGCCUUCGGGUUGUAAACCUCUUUCGACAGGGACGAAGCUUUGGUGACGGUACCUGUAUAAGAAGCACCGGCUAACUACGUG